rnacentral:sRNA from 12 species
AAUGACCGAUACCCAUGACUGGUCACCAAAACCAGUGGGGAUUACCUAUUGAUAGGCUGCUGUAUUGAGUACAUUACCGCCCCCCUCAUACCUCAACAAUGUUUCGCACUGGUGCAUAGGUAUCGUUUA